rnacentral:rRNA from 1 species
UCCGCCCGCUGGCGGCGUGCUUAACACAUGCAAGUCGAACGGAAAGGCCCUGCUUUUGUGGGGUGCUCGAGUGGCGAACGGGUGAGUAACACGUGAGUAACCUGCCCUUGACUUUGGGAUAACUUCAGGAAACUGGGGCUAAUACCGGAUAGGAGCUCCUGCUGCAUGGUGGGGGUUGGAAAGUUUCGGCGGUUGGGGAUGGACUCGCGGCUUAUCAGCUUGUUGGUGGGGUAGUGGCUUACCAAGGCUUUGACGGGUAGCCGGCCUGAGAGGGUGACCGGCCACAUUGGGACUGAGAUACGGCCCAGACUCCUACGGGAGGCAGCAGUGGGGAAUAUUGCACAAUGGGCGGAAGCCUGAUGCAGCAACGCCGCGUGCGGGAUGACGGCCUUCGGGUUGUAAACCGCUUUCGCCUGUGACGAAGCGUGAGUGACGGUAAUGGGUAAAGAAGCACCGGCGAACUACGU